UACUGACUGACUGACUGUACCCACUGGAAGUAGGAUAUAGCACCUACUGACUGACUGACUGUACCAGCUGGAUGUGGGAUCUAGCACCUACUGACUGACUGACUGUACCAGCUGGACAUCGGAUCUAGCACCUACUGACUGACUGACUGUACCAGCUGAAUGUGGAAUCUAGCACCUACUGACUGACUGACUACUGGAUGUGGGAUCUAGCAGCUACUGACUGACUGUACCAGCUGGACUUGGGAUAUAACACCUACUGACUGACUGUACCGGCUGGAUGUGGGAUCUAGCACCUACUGACUGACUGACUGUACCAGCUAGACAUGGGAUAUAACAUCUACUGACUUACUGACUGUACCGGAUGGAUGUGGGAUCUAGCACCUACUGACUGACUGACUGUACCAGCUGAAUGUGGAAUCUAGCACCUACUGACUGACUGACUACUGGAUGUGGGAUCUAGCAGCUACUGACUGACUGUACCAGCUGGACUUGGGAUAUAACACCUACUGACUGACUGUACCAGCUGGACUUGGGAUAUAACACCUACUGACUGACUCUUCCAGCUGAGGAUGGGAUCUAUCACGUACUGACUGAGUGUACCAGCUGAGGAUGGGAUCUAGCCCUAACUCUGACUGACUGUACCAGAUGAGGACAGGAUCUAGCACGUACUGACUGACUGUGCCAGCUGAUUAAAUCACUUACUGACUGUACCAGCUGAUUACAUAACUGACUGACUCUACCAGCUGGCACGGCGAUGGGAUCUAACACCUACUAACUGUCUGACUGACGGACUUUCUGACCGACUGUCUGACUGAUUAGCUGGCUGACUGGCUAGGCUGACUGGCUAGGCUGACUGACUGACUGACUGACUGACUGGCUGGCUGGCUGGCUGGCUGGCUGGCUGGCUGACUUCCUGACUGAUUGGCUGGCUGGCUGACUGGCUGGCUGAUUGGCUGGCUGACUGAUUGGCUGAUUGGCUGGCUGGCUGACUGGCUGGCUGACUGGCUGGCUGGCUGACUGAUUGGCUGGCUGAUUGGCUGGCUGGCUGACUGGCUGGCUGACUUCCUGACUGAUUGGCUGGCUGGCUGACUGACUGGCUGACUGUCCUUCCAUUGCCUUCUCUCCCCGGGGAUUCAGACGGGAAAACAAAGCCAGAGAACUUGAACCAACUGUAAUGUAACUAGUUAAAGCAGGCGACACACUUGAGUCUGUCUGUCUGUCUGUCUGUUAAAGUCAUGAUUAUUCAAUACUACCAUAAUUAUAUUAUUCUAUUGAUCUGUUAUAGUCAUGAUUAUUCAAUACCACCAUAAUUAUAUUAUUCUGUUGAUAUUGUUGGGGUUGUGAACGUACAGUACAGUAAGAGACUAUUGUUUGUGGAUACUGUACUUUUUAAAGACGAAGCUGAGAACACUGCUGCUACCUGACGGUGACUGUAACAUUAGGUCUGUACGGUGCCCAUAUUAGGACAGCGUCAGUCUCAGCAGGCGUUAUUAGGUCCUGAUCAGACUGAGGAUGUCCUAAUACAGACACCAUAGGUGUGUUAUUUAAUGAUGGUCUGCAUUCCAAAUGGCACCUUGUUCCCUUUGUAGCUGAACUAUUGUUGACCAGAGCCUACGGUGUUGACCAGGUCCUACAGUGUUGACCAGGGCCUACAGUGUUGACCAGAGCCUACGGUGUUGACCAGAGCCUACGGUGUUGACCAGGUCCUACAGUGUUGACCAGGGCCUACAGUGUUGACCAGGGCCUACGGUGUUGACCAGGUCCUACAGUGUUGACCAGGUCCUACGGUGUUACCAGGGCCUACAGUGUUGACCAGAGCCUACGGUGUUGACCAGGUCCUACGGUGUUGACCAGGACCCACAGUGUUGACCAGGUCCUACGGUGUUGACCAGGGCCUACAGUGUUGACCAGGGCCUACGGUGUUGACCAGGUCCUACGGUGUUGACCAGGGCCUACAGUGUUGACCAGGGCCUACGGUGUUGACCAGGUCCUACAGUGUUGACCAGGGUCUACAGUGUUGACCAGGGUCUACAGUGUUGACCAGGGCCUACAGUGUUGACCAGGGCCUACGGCUGCUGGUGUUGACCAGAUGCUACGGCUGCUGGUGUUGACCAGAUCCUACGGCUGCUGGUGUUGACCAGGUCCUACGGCUGCUGGUGUUGACCAGAUCCUACGGCUGCUGGUGUUGACCAGGUCCUACGGCUGCUGGUGUUGACCAGGUCCUACGGCUGCUGGUCAACAUAGUGUACUCUAUGGGGAACAGGAUGCCAUGUGGAACACAGCCCCUAUUGAAGACCUUUCUAGCUAUGUUGGUUCUGUUGUUUGUGCACGGAAAUGGAAUUAAAUACAACAAGGGCACGUUUUUGUUAUUUUUCAACAUAAUAUAUUUUGCACUGAGACACAAAAAUGUGUUAAUACUGUACAUUUUGUUUUUAGAUGCGUGUAUAAAGCCUCACCAGUGCCACAUAGUUCAAAUGUAUAAAAUAUUGUUGUACUGUGGAAUGUUAAUAGUCUUUUGGAUUGCAAUGUAUUGCCUUUACACACAGUCUGCUGGUUGUCAACACUAUAGGCCAUAAAGGAGGGGCAUCUGACUGCUAUAGAAUUACCGGCCAUAAAGGAGGGGCAUCUGACUGCUAUAGAAUUACCGGCCAUAAAGGAGGGGCAUCUGACUGCUAUAGAAUUACCGGCAUC
ensembl:lncRNA